ensembl:misc_RNA 7SK 7SK RNA
AGAGACCAGGACCAAUCUGGCUGUGACAUCUGUCACCCCACUGAUUGCCAAGGUCACUUCAGUUGAUCUGGCUAGCCAGGCAGGUGUCCCCCUCCUUCCUCACUGCUCCAUGUGCCGUGUAUGUCCCUCCCAAAGUGGCACACUUGGUCAAAGUGAAUCACAUUCCUCAAUACAGGAGGACCAUUAUUCAGUCAAGGGUAUAAGAGUAGCUGUGCUCCCCUGCUAGAACCUCCAAAUAAGUUCUCAACAUACAAGAGACCAGUGCACCUCGGUGGCUCAGUGGUUGAGUGUCUGCCUUUGG